CUAGACAAUACCGACUUCUCUACACUUUGAGUAAUAGUAUAAUUUAGUGUACUGUUUUGUAAUUAACUUCAUAAAGUUGCACUGAAAAUGUGGUUGUUCAGAUUGUGGCCUAAUUCAGACAUCCUUACUGGGAUGAAACUCAUUAAGUCAGCAAGAUUUUGUCUGAGGAACUUUAUUAAAUAGAGCAGGAUGCAUACAUGUGGCUGUGUGCACGCAUAGUAAUAACACUGUAGAGAGUUCUGUAAAGGAAGAAAAUUGUUUUGGUCUUCAAUUGGUCUUCAGUGCCAUUUUGCAUUCUAAGUCCUUUCCUCUAUUGUAUGAGAGUAUAAAAGCAGUAUUGCACAGUGCCAAGCCUUGGAGGUUUCUUCUUUAAAGCUGUUCUCAAAGUCUCCUUGCCAUCAGCUCACUCAUGACCUGUACUCUACAGCAGGGUGGCAUGUAGUUAAAAAUUUGUCAAGGAAAAACAAAUGUAUUUUAUUUGGUAUCUACUCGGUUCCCAGCCUGUUUGCACUUUGCUGCAUGCUCUGGUAACAUCAUGCUCUGCAGAAUAGAGCUGAGAAUAAAGCCCCCUAAAUACAAAUGAACUAAAUGUUUUCUUGAUCUCUACAUUUACUUAUGUUUCAAUGAUAACAUCUACAAAUAUAGCAGAAUGCUCCCUUACCCUUUCUUUCACUAAAUUAAGAUGCUGAAGUAGUAUAAGACAAAGAGUGAUAUCUGUAAUGCAAACCACCUUCAAAACUGCCAAGGCAAUGCCUAGUAAAUGGCUAAUGCAUAAAAUGCCUAAUGCUUCGUUGUUUUCACUCUCCUUAGCUCUUGUGUCCAUCUGGAAUAAAGAACAUGCAACUUAUCCUUGCCUGCCAGGUCACUCAGAAAAAUGCUCUUUUGGCAGCUGUUCAGCAAGCCUCAUUUUGUUACCUGGUCCAGCCUGCCCAUACCCUGGACAUAAAGGGAGGAAAUGUAAGUCUAACAAGUCAGAGGAGUUCAGCAAGUGGAAGAAAUUCGGUGUCUGGAAGCCAAGCAGAGGAUCAGCUGCUGCCAGCAACCACGCCGGACACAUCAUUUUCUGGGCGUUCUUCAGGUUUACACCGUGCCUUUCACAGGUAUUUGUUACAGACUGGCCAAGCCCCUGUCACUGGGUAGGGGUUGGUCUGAUGUACAUGUGA
rnacentral:lncRNA from 1 species